rnacentral:rRNA from 1 species
AGCGAACGCUGGCGGCAGGCCUAACACAUGCAAGUCGUACGAACUCUUCGGAGUUAGUGGCGGACGGGUGAGUAACACGUGGGAACGUGCCUUUUGGUUCGGAAUAACUCAGGGAAACUUGUGCUAAUACCGAAUGUGCCCUUCGGGGGAAAGAUUUAUCGCCAUUAGAGCGGCCCGCGUCUGAUUAGCUAGUUGGUGAGGUAACGGCUCACCAAGGCGACGAUCAGUAGCUGGUCUGAGAGGAUGACCAGCCACACUGGGACUGAGACACGGCCCAGACUCCUACGGGAGGCAGCAGUGGGGAAUCUUGCGCAAUGGGCGAAAGCCUGACGCAGCCAUGCCGCGUGAAUGAUGAAGGUCCUAGGAUUGUAAAAUUCUUUCACCGGGGACGAUAAUGACGGUACCCGGAGAAGAAGCCCCGGCUAACUUCGUG